GAAGAUCAUAAUAUUGUUCGGAACUUCCAAUUAAUAGAUGAAGGUUUCGUAAUGACUUAAUCGCCAGAAGCAGUAAAAUUUAUUUGAUAAUUGAGAUUUCCAAACACUAUGAAGUAG
rnacentral:pre_miRNA from 1 species